rnacentral:lncRNA from 10 species
CAAGUAAAUAAACUUCCAGAUGUAAGGGCCAGACUGGAACUGACAAAAGGAUGCUAAAAAUGUUUCUGUUUUCUGUGACACUUACAUGACUUGUAAAUAUUGUAAAACAAAAUAUUUAAAAAGAAAAUGUUUGGAAAGUAUAGAAGACAGAGUUAUUGAAACCCAUGAACUAAGUCUCGUACAAUUUGAAUCUUUGUGUUUUUUCUAAUACAUCCUUUCUUUAUCUUACUUCCCAGUCUUGUGGUGAUCACUUAGCUGCUGACAUGGUGGGAUGGAGGAUUCCAGAAUGCGUCAUGACUCACUGCCAUUGUGUUUACAGACUUACAGCAUACCAUGAAGACUCUACAUUAAAGCCACUUCUUAAAGCAAAUGCCAUGUCCUACAGUGCCAUCUGCAGAGAAGCAGUUUGCACUUGACAGAAAUCAAGGUCUUCUAGGCCCCAAGUUAAAGAACUCUAUUCAGCCGGGCGCGGUGGCUUAUGCCUGUAAUCCCAGCACUUUGGAAGGCCGAGGCGGGCGGAUCAUCUGAGGUUGGGAGUUCAAGACCAGCCUGACCAACAUGGAGAAACCCCGUCUCUACUAAAAAUACAAAAUUAGCCUGGGGUGGUGACACACGCCUGUAAUUCCAGCUACUAAGGAAGGCUGAGGCAGGAGAAUUGCCUGAAUCUGGGAGGCGGAGGUUGCAGUGAGCCGAGAUCGUGCCAUUGCUCUCCAGCCUGGGCAACAAAAGCGAAACUCCAUCUCUAAAAACAAAAACAAAAACAAAAACAAAACUCCAUUCAAAAGUAAAGUAGAAACACUAUCUUGAUGCACCAAAAGACCAACUGCUCACAACUUUGGUUCCAAGGUCUGGAGAAUUUGCUGAGUCUGUGAGGCCUGGAGUUUCACAGCCAGUAUCCAAACAGGGACUAUUUCUGAUUAAUGUGUUGCUAGGUAACUCAUAAUUAUACAAGCAAAGAAGCAAGUUCAAUGUAAUAUAACUCACAUUGAUUUUUUUGGCUAUGCUGUAAGAGCUUGAUGUUAAUGUAUAGGAAAAAAAUUCCCAAUAUCCCCCAAACAUUUUGUUCCAAUAAAUACUUCUUAAUAUUUUGAAAUCACCUGGUUGUUCUUAUAGAUCUGAAAGUAUUUGAAACACAUUUUUAUUAUGAAUCAUGAUUUAGGCUCCUGAUAGACAGUUUUGUGAGCAUACUGACUUCUCUAUAAAUAUUACCAGCUCAUUCAAACUAAGUGGAGCAAGUGAAUAGAUUUGUGGUCCUUUCCGUACAGACUUAGAAACUUCCCGGUUUUAUUUUGGUCUAAUUAUAGGUUUUGACUUUUUCAAGGUACAUAAUCAAAGUCUGACCCCUAAAAACGUCUAAUAAAGCUAUGCUUUAAAGGCCAAAGAAAUAAACACAUUAUUUUAAGUGUCAUGGAGUUAGUGCAAAUCCAUGUAUCUUUGCAGGCCAGGGGGUGUUUUCUACCAGAUGAGGGCCUAAGGCAAUGAGGCGGCACAGACAUAAUAAAAGUCUGACGCAGAGAGGAUUUGAAUACCAGCUAGAGUAGUGGAAACAUGUUGUCAAUAAAUGUCUCAGGUCAAGAAACACACAAAAUGAGAAGAAAUCGUAGCAACCACCUUGCAGUGACCAAAAAAAUCUAUAUAUAUUGUCGGGAUAAUUCUGAGAAUAAAGCAGUACUAUGAUGCUAAAAAGAUGGUCUUCCUAAAUUGCAAUAUGAAUGACUGCACGUUAGAAAAGCAUGUAUUUUGGACCAACGUUGUGAAACUAAGCUGUCUUGGGACACCAGGCAUGAAGGCAAUGGGGCACAUUGGUUACGAGUUCUGGGUUUGGCCAGGGUGUGAAUUCCAACUCUCAUUGACCUUGAGGAUGUUAUUUCAAUUUUUUGUGGUUUAGUUUUCUUAUCUGUAUCUCACAAGGUUAUCAGAAAGAUUAUAUAUAAUCAUGUAUAAAGCUUGACAUCUGGCCU